GAGAAUCCGGGGGCCUGGAUUCUGACGUCACCACACAAAACCCUUUUAAAACACUUUUGAAACCCUGUAUAUUUUUUUUUCUUUUAAAGAUAAUGAAAAUCCAAAAGAAUUUAAAACUUGAAAACAUUUAAUAAAAACUUUGAAUGAGAACAUAAAUCAAAUGAUUUCAAGACCUGAAAGUUUAAACUUGAAACCAUCAUAAAAGAAUUUCCAGAGAAUAUUUAAACUUUAAUAAAUGAUUCAAAAGAGAACAUUUAACCCCCAAAAACAACAGGAUCGCUUCCAGGUUACAGUAUUGAAAUUAGAAUCCACCACUAAUACUACACAACAUUUCUUACCAAGUCAGAUCAUCUUCGAUAUGAAGAAUCACUGUCAACUCUUCCAGCUAUGACUUACAUCUGAAUCUAGAUCGCACAACUCGAGCUAGCACCGACCUCAUCAACUUUCCUGAACACUCCUCGACCACUUGAUCCUCAACUCUGUCUCCUCGUCUAGCAUUAGUCUUAUCCACAAUCUCAAUCAAUCAUCUUAUCUUUCAGCCUUUCUGAAAUGGUGAGAAAGGAAUAGCAAGAGUGAGCAACAAUGCUCAGCAAGUAAUAAUAAACAAUGAUAACUCUGAAAUGAUAUAACAUAAGUUCACGAGUUCAAGAUAUAAGAAGAUUCAACCUGAGUUCACAAUUUCAGGUAUUGUAUAAAAGAAUCACAAUACCUUGCAGCAAUAGAAACCUGAGGAAUUCAAUCCUUCACAAGAGAAUUAUUGAAUUGGACUAUCACAUUUUAAUUAAAAACCAAGGUUAGGAUGCUGAUCAGUCAUACCUAACCCCGAGCAGGCCCCGCCAUGCUCUAUCACUGGAUCCAAGGCACUCAUUGGCCUAGCAUGACCACGAAUCUGGUCUGACCACUCAUUUGGUCCACAUAAUUUUAUAAAAACAAUAAUCCAAUUCUCUAAUUCAAUUCAAGAAGCCAAUGUAAGUUAACAGAACAUAAUCAUCAUCAUCAUCAACCACUGAAUAAUUCCAAAUCAAACUUUGAUAAUAACUUUCCAUAAGUCACAGUCCAUCCUUCCAUAAAUCAUAGUUCAGGAAAUCCCUAACUAUUCAAUAUCCUCCAUUAUCGGCUAUUCAACUGAGUUUAGCCUGCUAAACCAGCAUGACAAUGGCGGUUUGAAUAAUCAAGAAGAUCCCAAUUCAUUCAAAGCUCUAACUAUCACUGAGCAACACAUGCUUCAAUGACAAUCUGAACUUCGAAUUAAUUUGAAAAACGGAAAUUAUCUGAAUUUUUUUCGAGGAUUAGAAAAGGAUGGAUAAGAAUAUUUGCAUUUGCCAAAUAUGAAAAAGAAAGGAACUAAUAUUUGCAACACAUUCGAAAAGAAUGGAUCAGAAUAAUCGCAAGAUAUCCAAGAGAAGGGUAUAGGAUACUUGCCUUAAAUCUGACUCCAGUCUCACAUCUCAAUCUCAUCUUUCCACUUUCACAAUCUAUGCACCUUGUAAUCUCUAGACCAUCUCUAGCUAUACUCUAUUCGCCACAUUGCUUCGCUUACUCGAUUCAUUCUUUAUUCGCUUUGGAACACCACUUGUCCUUCUGAACGUCUUCGGUCAUCCUUGUCUCGUCCAAAUCCUUAACGAGAAUAAGAUAAUACUAUAGUCACUAAUCAAUCAAUCGCAUAUACAUAUCACGUAUAUCGAUACCCACUUAUAUACCCCUUUAAACUUAUCACAUAUCACUUAACACGUAAUCAUGCUUUGACUCUACCAUAUAGUCAAGUCAUAUUCCACAUAACAUAUUACCAAUCACUUAUCAUAUGAAUCCUAUCGAAAAUCCGACAUCGUCUCGUCUAUUUAUUAGACUAUCCACCUGUUAUCCUAUCUCAAUCAACAAUCAACCAACAAGAUCCAAUUACUAUAAUCCAUAUAUUCUUAUCCAAUAUCAAUCAACUCACGACACUAUGUCAUCCAAAUCUUUUAUCACACGUGUAUACUAUCAUGAAUAAACAUGUAUAUCACGUAAUCAUCAAUUAAUAGCAAUCAAAUAACAUAUAAUCACAUUGUGCACAUUUAACAACAAUUAUUCACAUUCUCGACUCCAUCAUAUUAUUAUGUUAUAUCAAACUAGACUUUAUAAGCUUCUGUCUCUCUUUCGUUUCACUUGAUUCCGAUUUACGGAUCAAAAGUUAUGAUCAAAAUUGUUUCCUACUUCCUCUAUCAACACAUAAUACAUCACUCUAAUAACACACAUCACAUAACACAUAAGAUUUCCCAUCCCGACUAAUGUCAAAUCGAGUCUCGGGUUUAAAAUGAUUUUUCGAGAAUUUUCUGGAAUUUUUAAACAUUUUUCGGAAUGAAAAUUGAUAAAAGAAUCACUUUUCGGAUAAAUAAUCAAGUCCCAAAUACUUGAAAUUGGACUUGAAAUCAUUCAUAAACAAUUAUCGAGCCUUGAA
rnacentral:lncRNA from 1 species